rnacentral:rRNA from 1 species
CGCGUGUACUGGUCCGGCCGGGCCUUUCCCUCUGUGGAACCCCAUGCCCUUCGCUGGGUGUGGCGGGGAAACAGGACUUUUACUGUGAAAAAAUUAGAGUGCUCCAGGCAGGCCUAUGCUCGAAUACAUUAGCAUGGAAUAAUAGAAUAGGACGUGUGGUUCUAUUUUGUUGGUUUCUAGGACCGCCGUAAUGAUUAAUAGGGACAGUCGGGGGCAUCAGUAUUCAAUUGUCAGAGGUGAAAUUCUUGGAUUUAUUGAAGACUAACUACUGCGAAAGCAUUUGCCAAGGAUGUUUUCAUUAAUCAGGAACGAAAGUUAGGGGAUCGAAGACGAUCAGAUACCGUCGUAGUCUUAACCAUAAACUAUGCCGACUAGGGAUCGGACGGUGUUAUAUUUUGACCCGUUCGGCACCUUACGAGAAAUCAAAGUGCUUGGGCUCCAGGGGGAGUAUGGUCGCAAGGCUGAAACUUAAAGAAAUUGACGGAAGGGCACCACCAGGGGUGGAGCCUGCGGCUUAAUUUGACUCAACACGGGGAAACUCACCAGGUCCAGACACAAUGAGGAUUGACAGAUUGAGAGCUCUUUCUUGAUUUUGUGGGUGGUGGUGCAUGGCCGUUCUUAGUUGGUGGAGUGAUUUGUCUGCUUAAUUGCGAUAACGAACGAGACCUUAACCUGCUAAAUAGCCCGUAUUGCUUUGGCAGUACGCUGGCUUCUUAGAGGGACUAUCGG